AAAUGCUGUUAUCUUGGUUUUAUUCCUUUAUGGCUAAGCCACAACAAUGGUAUUUUCACAUUGAAAACUCCUGUGCACUCUGUCAUAAUAUCUGUCAGUAACUUAAAAUUUUUAACAGAUUUGAGGGGUAGGAGAGGAUACCAGAUGACGUUUUUAUUGUGAUUACGCAGUAAUGCAACACAGACGCUCUGCAGCACCACCAAAUGGAGAACACACCACCACAGACACAAGAGCCAAUCGGGCAGCCUUAACACCAGUGCAAGCUGCCAGGAACGGAGACCAGAAAGCACCACUUCCUAUACAGAGUAGCAGCCACAGGCCUGAAAUACUUGGGAUGAACACCACCAAUAGCCCCAUAACACUGCCACAGGGUGCAGAGAAAGGGCCAGAACAGCCACUCCGGGCAGCUGGAACAUCCUCUAACACCAGGACACCACAGCCUUGGCAGAAAUGAUUCUUGUGAAUUUUUCUGCCAGCAUGACAAGUAAUGGUGAAAGCAGCAGAGAGGACACUGAAGGAGAACGAGGAUGCUUCUGACUUUGCUUCUUUAAGAUAAUAUAGUGAGUGCAGGCAACUUCCCAUAGUGAUCCACCUAGGUAGCAACAAAACUGAUAAAACUGGAACUGUGGAUCCCUACUCCAGCAGACUGAGCACAGUGCUGUAAGUGUCCCAGUCUGAGCAGUUUCUGUUGUACUGCUGCAGAACAGGAUUGCAGUUUUUGCUGACCCUGUCUUGAAGCUACGUUUCAAUGUCCCUUCAAGGAAGCUGGUCCGUCUCCUCUCCAGAGUAUGACUGGUAGUGCCACUGCUCUUCGUUGAGUGCAGUAUUUUGGAUUUCAGUCUGUUAACUGGGUAGAUUCCAUCAAGGGUCCAACUUAUUUUGGAGUAAUCUCCAUGAAGAUACUGAAGCCGCAGAGCUGCUAGGCGCUGCAGAGUGUCCUCUGGUGCUGGAAAAUGACCAUCUAUGAGGCUUUCAUGAGCCUAUAAACAAACAGAAAGUCCCCCAGACUCAUCAGAAAGCAGAAGCACACUUUAUUCACAGCUGGGUCCGUGUACAGAUUCCUAAUGGCAUCUGCCGAUCCCAGUAGGAAAGACACAAUUCAG